UACAGAGACUGCAAGCGUUAUUCGGAUUCACUGGGCGUAAAGGGUGCGCAGGCGGCCAAGUGUGUGAGGCGUGAAAGCCUGGGGCUUAACCCCAGAAUUGCACCUCAAACUACUUGGCUAGAGCAUUGGAGAGGGUAGCAGAAUUCAUGGUGUAGCAGUGAAAUGCGUAGAUAUCGGGAGGAACAUCAGUGGCGAAGGCGGCUGCCUGGCCCAAUACUACGAC
rnacentral:rRNA from 1 species